GUCAAGUCAAUCUGAUAAGAUGACUUUAUGCUUAGGUUGCCUCCAUGAAGAGAACGCAAUUCUCUGUUGACCAGAACAAUUUGACAUUCAGAUAAAACGAGCCUCAGUGAGCGUCAUUUAUUGAUUUCAAAACAUCGAGGAAAACAUGCAGAGUCACCAAGAUAAUACAGAAUUACACCAUUAGAAAAGAG
rnacentral:lncRNA from 1 species